GACGAACGCUGGCGGCGUGCUUAACACAUGCAAGUCGAACGGUGAAGCUCCAGCUUGCUGGAGUGGAUCAGUGGCGAACGGGUGAGUAACACGUGAGCAACCUGCCCCAGACUCUGGAAUAAGCGCUGGAAACGGCGUCUAAUACUGGAUACGAGAUCAAGCCGCAUGGUUAUGGUCUGGAAAGUUUUUCGGUUUGGGAUGGGCUCGCGGCCUAUCAGCUUGUUGGUGAGGUAAUGGCUCACCAAGGCGACGACGGGUAGCCGGCCUGAGAGGGCGACCGGCCACACUGGGACUGAGACACGGCCCAGACUCCUACGGGAGGCAGCAGUGGGGAAUAUUGCACAAUGGGCGAAAGCCGGAUGCAGCGACGCCGCGUGAGGGAUGACGGCCUUCGGGUUGUAAACCUCUUUCAGCAGGGAAGAAGCGAAAGUGACGGUACCUGCAGAAGAAGCACCGGCUACUACGUG
rnacentral:rRNA from 1 species